rnacentral:rRNA from 1 species
GAUGAACGCUGGCGGCGUGCCUAAUACAUGCAAGUCGAGCGAACGGACGAGAAGCUUGCUUCUCUGAUGUUAGCGGCGGACGGGUGAGUAACACGUGGAUAACCUACCUAUAAGACUGGGAUAACUUCGGGAAACCGGAGCUAAUACCGGAUAAUAUUUUGAACCGCAUGGUUCAAAAGUGAAAGACGGUCUUGCUGUCACUUAUAGAUGGAUCCGCGCUGCAUUAGCUAGUUGGUAAGGUAACGGCUUACCAAGGCAACGAUGCAUAGCCGACCUGAGAGGGUGAUCGGCCACACUGGAACUGAGACACGGUCCAGACUCCUACGGGAGGCAGCAGUAGGGAAUCUUCCGCAAUGGGCGAAAGCCUGACGGAGCAACGCCGCGUGAGUGAUGAAGGUCUUCGGAUCGUAAAACUCUGUUAUUAGGGAAGAACAUAUGUGUAAGUAACUGUGCACAUCUUGACGGUACCUAAUCAGAAAGCCACGGCUAACUACGUGCCAGCAGCCGCGGUAAUACGUAGGUGGCAAGCGUUAUCCGGAAUUAUUGGGCGUAAAGCGCGCGUAGGCGGUUUUUUAAGUCUGAUGUGAAAGCCCACGGCUCAACCGUGGAGGGUCAUUGGAAACUGGAAAACUUGAGUGCAGAAGAGGAAAGUGGAAUUCCAUGUGUAGCGGUGAAAUGCGCAGAGAUAUGGAGGAACACCAGUGGCGAAGGCGACUUUCUGGUCUGUAACUGACGCUGAUGUGCGAAAGCGUGGGGAUCAAACAGGAUUAGAUACCCUGGUAGUCCACGCCGUAAACGAUGAGUGCUAAGUGUUAGGGGGUUUCCGCCCCUUAGUGCUGCAGCUAACGCAUUAAGCACUCCGCCUGGGGAGUACGACCGCAAGGUUGAAACUCAAAGGAAUUGACGGGGACCCGCACAAGCGGUGGAGCAUGUGGUUUAAUUCGAAGCAACGCGAAGAACCUUACCAAAUCUUGACAUCCUUUGACAACUCUAGAGAUAGAGCCUUCCCCUUCGGGGGACAAAGUGACAGGUGGUGCAUGGUUGUCGUCAGCUCGUGUCGUGAGAUGUUGGGUUGAGUCCCGCAACGAGCGCAACCCUUAAGCUUAGUUGCCAUCAUUAAGUUGGGCACUCUAAGUUGACUGCCGGUGACAAACCGGAGGAAGGUGGGGAUGACGUCAAAUCAUCAUGCCCCUUAUGAUUUGGGCUACACACGUGCUACAAUGGACAAUACAAAGGGCAGCGAAACCGCGAGGUCAAGCAAAUCCCAUAAAGUUGUUCUCAGUUCGGAUUGUAGUCUGCAACUCGACUACAUGAAGCUGGAAUCGCUAGUAAUCGUAGAUCAGCAUGCUACGGUGAAUACGUUCCCGGGUCU